rnacentral:rRNA from 1 species
GACGAACGCUGGCGGCGUGCUUAACACAUGCAAGUCGAACGGAAAGGCCCUGCUUGCAGGGUACUCGAGUGGCGAACGGGUGAGUAACACGUGGGUGAUCUGCCCUGCACUUCGGGAUAAGCCUGGGAAACUGGGUCUAAUACCGGAUAGGAGCCAUCUUUAGUGUGAUGGUUGGAAAGUUUGUUCGGUGUAGGAUGAGCUCGCGGCCUAUCAGCUUGCUGGUGGGGUAAUGGCCUACCAAGGCGGCGACGGGUAGCCGGCCUGAGAGGGUGGACGGCCACAUUGGGACUGAGGUACGGCGCAGACUCCUACGGGAGGCAGCAGUGGGGAAUAUUGCACGAUGGGCGCAAGCCUGAUGCAGCGACGCCGCGUGGGGGAUGACGGCCUUCGGGUUGUAAACUCCUUUCGCUAGGGACGAAGCUUUUGUGACGGUACCUAGAUAAGAAGCACCGGCUAACUACGUG